rnacentral:siRNA from 1 species
AUGUGUUCAACAUAUGCUAGAUGC